rnacentral:tRNA from 1 species
UUUUAGCUCAGUGGUAGAGCGUCACGUUCACAUCGUGGGGAUCGUAGGUUCGAAUCCUGCAAUAUCC